AUUGAACGCUGGCGGCAGGCUUAACACAUGCAAGUCGAGCGGGGGAGGUUGCUUCGGUAACUGACCUAGCGGCGGACGGGUGAGUAAUGCUUAGGAAUCUGCCUAUUAGUGGGGGACAACAUUCCGAAAGGAAUGCUAAUACCGCAUACGCCCUACGGGGGAAAGCAGGGGAUCUUCGGACCUUGCGCUAAUAGAUGAGCCUAAGUCGGAUUAGCUAGUUGGUGGGGUAAAGGCCUACCAAGGCGACGAUCUGUAGCGGGUCUGAGAGGAUGAUCCGGCACACUGGGACGGAGACACGGCCCAGACUCCUACGGGAGGCAGCAGUGGGGAAUAUUGGACAAUGGGCGGAAGCCUGAUCCAGCCAUGCCGCGUGUGUGAAGAAGGCCUUUUGGUUGUAAAGCACUUUAAGCGAGGAGGAGGCUCUUAAGGUUAAUACCCUUGAUGAGUGGACGUUACUCGCAGAAUAAGCACCGGCUAACUCUGUGCCAGCAGCCGCGGUAACAC
rnacentral:rRNA from 1 species